rnacentral:rRNA from 1 species
UUCGCAAUGCCCGAAAGGGUGACGAUGCGACGCCGCGUGAGCGAAGAAGGCCCUAGGGUUGUAAAGCUCUGUCGAGGGUUAUGAAAUAUAGAUGGGUUAAUACCCCAUUUAUUUGACAAAAGCCCAAAAGGAAGCCACGGCUAACUCUGUGCCAGCAGCCGCGGUAAUACAGAGGUGGCGAGCGUUGUUCGGUAUUAUUGGGCGUAAAGAGCACGUAGGUGGUUUUGUAAGUCAGGUGUGAAAGCCUUCUGUUCAAAGGAAGAACGGCAUCUGAAACUGCAGAUCUUGAGUGUAGGAGGGGAGAGUGGAACUUCUGGUGGAGCGGUGAAAUGCGUAGAUAUCAGAAGGAACGUCGGCGGCGAAAGCGACUCUCUGGCCUAUUACUGACACUGAGGUGCGAAAGUUAGGGGAGCAAACGGGAUUAGAUACCCCGGUAGUCCUAAACGUAAACGAUGGGCACUAAGUAGAGGGGUUUU